rnacentral:miRNA from 1 species
UUUCUUCUCUUCCCUUUCAG